UAAUACGAAGGGGGCUAGCGUUGUUCGGAAUUACUGGGCGUAAAGCGCGCGCAGGCGGUCUUUCAAGUCAGUGGUGAAAGCCCGGAGCUCAACUCCGGAAAUGCCAUUGAAACUGUAAGACUUGAGGAUGAGAGAGGUGAGUGGAAUUCCCAGUGUAGAGGUGAAAUUCGUAGAUAUUGGGAAGAACACCGGUGGCGAAGGCGGCUCACUGGCUCAUUUCUGACGCUCAGGCGCGACAGCGUGGGGAUCAAACAGGAUUAGAUACCCUGGUAGUCCACGCCGUAAACGAUGAAUGCUAGCCGUUGGGCAGCUUGCUGUUCAGUGGCGCAGCUAACGCAUUAAGCAUUCCGCCUGGGGAGUACGGCCGCAAGGUUG
rnacentral:rRNA from 1 species